GAUGAACGCUAGCGGCAGGCUUAACACAUGCAAGUCGAGGGGUAACAGGUUGUGCUUGCACAAUGCUGACGACCGGCGCACGGGUGCGUAACGCGUAUACAAUCUGCCUUGUACUGAGGGAUAGCCUUUGGAAACGAAGAUUAAUACCUCAUGGUAUAUAUGAGUGGCAUCACUUAUAUAUUAAAGGUUACGGUACAAGAUGAGUAUGCGUCCUAUUAGCUAGAUGGUGUGGUAACGGCAUACCAUGGCAACGAUAGGUAGGGGCCCUGAGAGGGGGAUCCCCCACACUGGUACUGAGACACGGACCAGACUCCUACGGGAGGCAGCAGUGAGGAAUAUUGGGCAAUGGAGGCAACUCUGACCCAGCCAUGCCGCGUGCAGGAAGACUGCCCUAUGGGUUGUAAACUGCUUUUAUACAGGAAGAAACAGACCUACGUGUAGGUCCUUGACGGUACUGUAAGAAUAAGGAUCGGCUAACUCCG
rnacentral:rRNA from 1 species